rnacentral:ncRNA from 2 species
AUAAAUAUUUUAUAAAUAACUUAUAUAAGAUUAUGAUAUGGAUAAUCGUUCCUACUCAGUACCGUAAAUACUGAACUAUAAGUAAAAAUGGGUUAAUU